rnacentral:rRNA from 1 species
UGCCAGCCGCCGCGGUAAUACGGAGGGGGCUAGCGUUGUUCGGAAUUACUGGGCGUAAAGCGCGUGUAGGCGGUUCGUUAAGUCUGAUGUGAAAGCCCGGGGCUCAACCCCGGAAGUGCAUUGGAAACUGGCGAACUUGAGUACGGGAGAGGAAAGUGGAAUUCCGAGUGUAGGGGUGAAAUCCGUAGAUAUUCGGAGGAACACCAGUGGCGAAGGCGGUUUCCUGGCCAAGUAUUGACGCUGAUUCACGAAAGCGUGGGGAGCAAACAGGAUUAGAUA